GCUGGGGAGGAAGGUGCUGGGCAGCUCAGAGCUCAGGCACAUGGAGAUGGGGUCCCAGGCUCAGAUGCUCUUUCUCCUGUUGUUCUGGAUCCCAGAUGCCCGAGGGGCCAUUGUGCUGACCCAGUCUCCAGCCUCCCUGGCUGCAUCUCCAGGAGAGAGAGUCACCAUGUCCUGCAAGGCCAGUCAGGGUAUUAGCAAUUACCUGCACUGGUACCAACAGAAACCAGGCCAGGCCCCUCGGCUCCUCAUUUGGGAUGCAACCACACUGCACUCCGGGGUCCCUGCCCGGUUCAGUGGCAGUGGCUCUGGGACAGAUUUCUCCCUCACAAUCAGCAACAUGGAGGCUGAGGACGCUGCAGUCUAUUACUGUCAGCAAUAUGAUAGCUCUCCGUAUACUUUCGGCGGUGGGACCAAGCUGGAAAUCAAACGAAGCGUGGCUCAGCCAUCUGCCUUCAUCUUCCAGCCAUCUGAAGAGCAGUUGAAAACAGGCACAGCCUCAGUGGUUUGCCUCGCGAACAAUUUCUACCCCAAAAAAGCCACAGUCACGUGGAAGGUCGAUAAUCAGGUGACAAACUCAAACGUCCAGACCGUCUUCACAGAACAGGACAGCAAGGACCAGACGUACAGCCUGAGCAGUACCCUGAACCUCCCUGGGUCUGAAUACAACAACCAUGAGAAGUAUUCCUGUGAGAUCUCUCAUGAAAGCCUGUCCAGUGCCCUAGUGAAGUCCUUCCAGAGGAGCCAGUGUUAGUGAAGGGGCAGCGGGGGCCCUCAAGAGGGAACCUCCUCCACUCCACUCUCACUCCCCCCCCCCUCCAGCCUUUCUUCUUGCUCUCCCAUCUUCCCCACCUGAUGAUAAAAGAUCAUUCUCCAGUCCAAAGGCCUCUGGCCUUAUCCAUUCCCAUCUUCAUCUUUGCCUGCUUUAAUCAUGUCAAUAUUUGAAAGAAAAAAACCAAAUAAAGUUAAUGAAAGAGACCCUG